rnacentral:rRNA from 1 species
CUCGUCUGCAUUUGCAGUUGGAGAGAGAAGAUGGACUGCAGCUACCCGAUGCAUCGUGCGUGCCUCACCUCCAUCUGCACUUAGACAGAGAGAUGGACUGGCGCCUAUGACGCCCUGGUCGACUACGCGGUCGCCGCCGUCCGCGAGCCCGGGUGCACGGUGGCUCUCACAGACUUCCACCACUGCGUCGACGCUUCAGCGAGUCCUGCGACCGAGCCGACGGCCUCGUCCAGGUGGCCGCCGCCGGCCUCGGCCCCGCCGCCUCCCGCCACAACGAGAUGUUCCGCGCGCUCAUGGACCUCCACCGCUGCCUCGACGCCUUCAGCGAUUCCCGCGACUGAGCCAAGGGCCUCGUCCAGGCGGCCGCCACGGCCGCGCCGCCUCCCGUCACGACAAGCUGUUCCGUGCCGUGCGCGUGGUCGACAAAGAUCUCCGGGCCGCCGCUGCCGGCUGGGAGAAGAAUCGCCCUCCGACCACGCCACUGGCAGCCGAGGACAAAUAGCCCAAUCAAUCUACCCCGUCUCCUAUUCAGGUGAUGUUUAUCAUUCUUGUUUUUUCCAUGUGAUGUUCAUCGUUCCUCUUAUUUUCUCGGUUGAUGUGCUAAUCAUGUUAGUCAAAGAUGAAUGAAACUGUGACGGGAAAGGAGAGAUGGACCGGGAUAUUUUUCCUCGGCAUGUCGCAUGGUGGCCGAGAUGCGGCAGCCCCAUGCUCUGUUCUGAUGGGCCUCCUCUGCUCGAUGGUUGCCGCUGGUUGAGUUUGGUACAGUUUCCUGUUGUCGCUUGCGUCGAGCCCUAGGUCCGUCUCUCCUUCUCAUUGAGCCUACUUCUCCUGUCGCUGGCGCUUCUUCUUCUCGUCCGUCCCGCUGCUUAACCAACGUUGUACGAUCUCUUCUGUCGCUGCGUCGUUCGACUCAUCAAGGUUUUCUUCUUUCCUUUCUACUACAUGUGUGUGUUAUACUUUCAGUAUCUUCUGUGUCAUGUCUGCCUUGGUGAUCUUUUAAAUAUAUGUAUGUCGUGCUGAUCGUUUAAAUAUUCCGGAUAUGGUCGGGCGUUGUGUGUUGUUCUUUCUCGUGCUGCUUAUAUUUCGUGUAUGCGUGUGAGCAGGAUGUGUAUGCCUGUUUCCGUUGUUAUACCAGUUUUGGAGGCCGUGGUAACUCGAUACCACUCACGCUCACUCUUUCUGUUGUACACAAGCAUAUUUGUCCAAUUCUCAGACUAAGUUUCUGAAAGAAACCGCAGUUCAUUACAACGCCAAUUAUGGAUAUGGAUCCAUCUUGCUACGCUGGAUGAAGGACUGGAUGUAAUAAGAAUUGCAUGUGACAAAUAGGUGCCUCCUCUAUGCAUAACUUUUGGCUAAUAUCAUUGAAUUUCUCCUGAGAUCUCUCUAGACCUUUCCAAAUGUAUUUUAGUUAGGUGUUUGUAUUAACUAGCAGAAGAAGGGAUGCAAAUGGAAAGAAUUUGAGAUGCAUAAACAUAAAAGCACUAAAAGAUUUGCUUGAAGCAAAGAUGUCUAGCCGGCAUACAUAUGGCAAGAACCUUCAGAGAUUGAUUUCUUUUCACCUGCUAUUCAGAUAUAUACUUGCUCAUAGGUCACAACUCAUGAAGUUACUUCUUUUGGUUUUGAUUUUGAAAUAUAUGUGUCAUAGGUCACGACUGAUGAAGUUACUUCCUUUUGGUGAAGGUCUGAAUAUCAUCAGUAUCUUGGCUGAGAGGCUGACAUUUCGGAAGGUUCUCAUCUGUGUAGGUUAGUUGAUAGGAUGACAAUUUAAGUUUAUUGAAGCUCUUCUUUAGGAGGCGGGGUUCUGCUUUGGUUUCUUGCUAUUUGCAGUUUGAUGCUUGUGGUAUCCCAUAUGAAAUUCUACAAUUUGUUUUAGCUUUUGUAGUUUUCUAUUCAUUAUCCCUACCCAUUGUGAUGUGUAUGUUUAUAUGCUUCAUGGACAGCGGGAUUUAAUAUCACUUGCUUCUCAGUCUUCUCCACCCUCGACAUGCGUAGGCCAAAAAGGCGGAGACGAGUCAUGAUCCUCCAGGCUAUGGCUGCUGGUUGCAGACAGGGUUUAAGCACAGGAAUCGCAAAAGUUGUGCCCCAUGAGGCCAGUGACCCCCAUGUGGCCAGCAACUAAAGGCUAGAUUCAUUCUCGUUGAAUGUAACCUGCCUGACAGUAAAUUAGUGUCACAUUGGUAGUUGUCGAUCUUUUAAAAUUUGAUUAACUAAUUUGGGCUCUAACAGAUUCUGUAGUUGUCUGUUGUUUCUUAUUUGCAGGUUAUCUUUAGCUUGGACGAAAAUGAAUGGACGAGCUUCAGUAUGACGAGGAGAGAGCAAUCUUGUUCAGUUUUAAUCGGGACAGAUGAAGGACAACCAUGUAAAAGUGGAGCAGUCAUAGGCCUGUUAUAGAGAUCUUGGUGAAGAACUCGUCACUGCAAUUUUGUCAAAUGGGUGUUGAGAUUGAAGUUUAUGCUUUUGUUGACUUUCUGAUAAAUUACAGCAACAUCGACAAGGUUAUGUGGGAGCCUUUCAUAGAGCCCUCAUAUAUUCAGUUAAAUAUACUUUGAAAUGUGCUGAUCAUGCACUGGAUGUAUCUCCCAGUACUCUGUGUUGCUAAAUUCAAGCAAGCAGCUUAAUGUUUCCAUAUCAGAGCCCUUGAUCGAGUGUGUGAUAAUUCGAGCCUCCAUGGAAGCAUCAACCGGAUCUGGCUGGCCCACAUACGCACGCCUCCUCUUUGCCCGGUGGCUCAUGGAAGCGGUGGCGUACGAUGAUGGCUUCCAUAUGGAGUAGAUGAAUCAUCAUAGAUAGUUCUUAUGUUACAUGUACAAAGGAGAGCAUUGUUUCACGAAAGCAUGGAUUACACCCACGCCAGUGACCAGUGAAGAAAGGGCUCAUGAACAAGAUAAAAAACUUUCAACCAUCUUUUGUUUACAAGGAAAGACGCUUUUUGUUAAAUUAGUCUUGUCGACUUCCGUAUGUAUUAUCGUAUUCUACCUCUUCUAUUAUAUCCAAAUUACUAUAUGAUGUAAUUGACCACUCUUAUUAAGAACUGGGCACAGUGAUUUAUGCUAUCAUUAUCUUAAGUAAGCAUUAUUGUGUCACUUGAGUGUAUUGGA